AAUGAACGCUGGCGGCGUGGAUUAGGCAUGCAAGUCGAACGCGAAAGUUCCCUUCGGGGAGCGAGUAGAGUGGCGAAAGGGUGAGUAAUGCUUGGAUGACCUGCCCUCGAGACGGGGACAACAGUUCGAAAGGACUGCUAAUACCCGAUAGUCCGGUUUAGAUGCGUCUAGAUCGGUAAAUGGUGCUUCCGCUCGAGGAGGGGUUCAAGUCCUAUCAGCUUGUUGGUGGGGUAAAGGCCUACCAAGGCGACGAUCGGUAACUGGUCUGAGAGGAUGAUCAGUCACACUGGAACUGAGACACGGUCCAGACUCCUACGGGAGGCAGCAGUGGGGAAUAUUGGACAAUGGGGGGCAACCCUGAUCCAGCCAUGCCGCGUGUGUGAAGAAGGCCUCGGUUGUAAG
rnacentral:rRNA from 1 species